rnacentral:rRNA from 1 species
UUGUCUCAAAGAUUAAGCCAUGCAUGUCUCAGUACAAGCCGCAUUAAGGUGAAACCGCGAAAGGCUCAUUAAAUCAGUUAUGGUUCCUUAGAUCGUACCCACACUUACUUGGAUAACUGUGGUAAUUCUAGAGCUAAUACAUGCAAACAGAGCUCCGACCGGAGACGGAAGGAGUGCUUUUAUUAGAUCAAAACCAAUCGGCGGCGGGCGCGUUCGCGCGUCCGUUCGCCGCUCAACCUGGUGACUCUGAAUAACUUUCCGCUGAUCGCACGGUCUCGCACCGGCGACGCAUCUUUCAAAUGUCUGCCUUAUCAACUGUCGAUGGUAGGUUCUGCGCCUACCAUGGUCGUAACGGGUAACGGGGAAUCAGGGUUCGAUUCCGGAGAGGGAGCCUGAGAAACGGCUACCACAUCCAAGGAAGGCAGCAGGCGCGCAAAUUACCCACUCCCGGCACGGGGAGGUAGUGACGAAAAAUAACGAUACGGGACUCAUCCGAGGCCCCGUAAUCGGAAUGAGUACACUUUAAAUCCUUUAACGAGGACCCAUUGGAGGGCAAGUCUGGUGCCAGCAGCCGCGGUAAUUCCAGCUCCAAUAGCGUA